GACGAACGCUGGCGGCGUGCCUAAUACAUGCAAGUUGAGCGCUGAAGGUUGGUACUUGUACCAACUGGAUGAGCAGCGAACGGGUGAGUAACGCGUGGGGAAUCUGCCUUUGAGCGGGGGACAACAUUUGGAAACGAAUGCUAAUACCGCAUAAAAACUUUAAACACAAGUUUUAAGUUUGAAAGAUGCAAUUGCAUCACUCAAAGAUGAUCCCGCGUUGUAUUAGCUAGUUGGUGAGGUAAAGGCUCACCAAGGCGAUGAUACAUAGCCGACCUGAGAGGGUGAUCGGCCACAUUGGGACUGAGGCACGGCCCAAACUCCUACGGGAGGCAGCAGUAGGGAAUCUUCGGCAAGGGACGAAAGUCUGACCGAGCAACGCCGCGGGAGUGAAGAAGGGUUUCGGAUCGUAAAACUCUGUUGGUAGAGAAGAACGUUGGUGAGAGUGGAAAGCUCAUCAAGUGACGGUAACUACCCAGAAAGGGACGGCUAACUACGUG
rnacentral:rRNA from 1 species